ACUACAACAACAACAAACGGUGAAACGAACAACAACAACAACAGCGAUACUAUUGAUGGUUUUAGAAAAACGAUGCCCACUACGACGACUACGAACAAAUUACAACAAUCAGCCAAUCAGCAAACGAACAACAACAAUAACUUUUCAACGAAUACUCAAGACCAACAACAACAACAAGAAGCAAUUAAGACGCCCACAAUUCCCCAGAAGCCAAGUCAAGAAACGGAAAAAUCUCCACA